rnacentral:tRNA from 1 species
GCCGGGGUGAUGAAAUUGGUAGACAUGCUGGUCUUAGAAACCAGUGCUUAACCGCAUAAGAGUUCGAGUCUCUUCCUCGGCACCA